rnacentral:rRNA from 1 species
UACGUAGGGUGCAAGCGUUGUCCGGAAUUAUUGGGCGUAAAGAGCUCGUAGGCGGUUUGUCGCGUCUGCUGUGAAGACUCGGGGCUUAACUCCGGGCCUGCAGUGGGUACGGGCAGACUAGAGUGCGGUAGGGGAGACUGGAAUUCCUGGUGUAGCGGUGAAAUGCGCAGAUAUCAGGAGGAACACAGGUGGCGAAGGCGGGUCUCUGGGCCGUAACUGACGCUGAGGAGCGAAAGCGUGGGGAGCGAACAGG